UACGUAGGUCCCGAGCGUUGUCCGGAUUUAUUGGGCGUAAAGCGAGCGCAGGUGGUUUAUUAAGUCUGGUGUAAAAGGCAGUGGCUCAACCAUUGUAUGCAUUGGAAACUGGUAGACUUGAGUGCAGGAGAGGAGAGUGGAAUUCCAUGCGUAGCGGUGAAAUGCGUAGAUAUAUGGAGGAACACCGGUGGCGAAAGCGGCUCUCUGGCCUGUAACUGACGUUGAGGCUCGAAAGCGUGGGGAGCAAACAGG
rnacentral:rRNA from 1 species